AUUGAACGCUGGCGGCAGGCCUAACACAUGCAAGUCGAACGAGUGGCGGACGGGUGAGUAAUGUCUGAGAAACUGCCUGAAGGAGGGGGAUAACUACUGGAAACGGUAGCUCAUACCGCAUACCAUCGGAUGUGCCCAGAGGGGACUAGCUAGUCGGUGGGGUAACGGCUCACCGAGGCGACGAUCCCUAGCUGGUCUGAGAGGAAGACCAGCCACACUGGAACUGAGACACGGUCCAGACUCCUACGGGAGGCAGCAGUGGGGAAUAUUGCACAAUGGGCGCAAGCCUGAUGCAGCAAUGCCGCGUGUAUGAAGAAGGCCUUCGGGUUGUAAAGUACUUUCAGCGGGGAGGCGUUACCCGCAGAAGAAGCACCGGCUAACUCCGUGCCAGCAGCCGCGGUAAUUC
rnacentral:rRNA from 1 species